rnacentral:rRNA from 1 species
AUUGAACGCUGGCGGCAGGCUUAACACAUGCAAGUCGAGCGAGCGGCGGACGGGUGAGUAAUGUAUGGGAAACUGACUGAUGGAGGGGGAUAACUACUGGAAACGGUAGCUAAUACCGCACACCAUCAGAUGUGCCCAGAUGGGAUUAGCUAGUAGGGGGGGUAAUGGCUCACCUCGGCGAUGAUCCCUAGCUGGUCUGAGAGGAUGACCAGCCACACUGGAACUGAGACACGGUCCAGACUCCGACGGGAGGCAGCAGUGGGGAAUAUUGGACAAUGGGUGCAAGCCUGAUGCAGCCAUGCCGCGUGUGUGAAGAAGGCCUUCGGAUUGUAAAGCACUUUCAGCUAGGAGGCGUUACUCGCAGAAUAAGCACCGGCUAACUCCGUGCCAGCAGCCGCGGUAAUAC